UUUUUUUUUUUUUUUCUCAGAGACAGGGUCUCACUGUGUUGCCCAGGCUUGUCUUGAACUCUGACCUUAAGCAGUCCCCCGCCUGGGACUCCCACUGUGCCAGCCAACUCUCAUUUCUGAAAGGUUUUGUUAAACAAAGUUUAUGAGAGGCCAUUGUUAUGGACUAGCCUCCUGCUUUAGGCCCCAGAAGAUCAGACCAAACCAGAAUGGAGUCACUUGUGCUAAGUGACAUAUAAUCAAACUGAACUUUGAAAUGGGCCAGUUUCCAAAAAACAGGAGAUUGCAGUCAACCUGAGUCAGUGUUGUAAGGAAGUCCUCUCUGUUUUAGUCUUAUAAGGAAAGUAACUUUGAAACAACCCAUCUAGCUUGUUUUCUCUGUUUCUGCUUUCUUCAGCCCUUCUCUGUUUACAAAGUCAAACUUCUCUGCUUAGCUCACCAGAACAUUCAUUCUAUUUUAUAGAAUGAUGUGUUGCUUGAUUCUAGAAUUGCAAAUUAAAGGCAAUUACAUCUUCUAAACUAAAUUUGUUGUAAUUUUGUCUUUUGACAAUUUAAACUGUGGAAUCAGAAAUUCAAAGACUAUGAACAAAAAUUUCAAAAGAAACAAAUAGUAAUACCACCAAUAAGAAGAAUAAUUAAAAAGGUACAAAGACAUUGGAAGUAACGUUCUAAAAAGAGCCAUAGUUUGGAGCUGAGCUGACAUAAGCUAAAAUCCUAAGUGAGUAACUUGUUAGCUGUGUGGCCUCUGAAAAUCAACUCAAGGAUCUGAGCUUGUUUCCUCACUUCUAAAAUUGGAAAAACAAGGCCUAUCAAAGUCAUCAACGAAUCAUUGAAAUGCUUGGCCUAUUUUAAUAUUCAGUAUCUGUAAGCUCAUACCAUUAAAGGGUACUUGAGAUGCCAACUACUAUAUAAUCUGAAACCAUAAUGAUCUUCUUUUUUCCCCACAAAGAUAACAAAAAACAAACACACACACACACAAAAACAGUAAGCUCUGCCAGACAUGUAAAACCAAUCAAACUAUAUAAUGAAUUAAAUUCUUUCCCCACCGAAAAGACAGAUCAGUGUACCUAACAC
rnacentral:lncRNA from 1 species